UGUGCCAUAGCUCAGUGGGGUUGAGCACCUGCUUUGCAUGCAGAAGGCCCCAGGUUCAAUCCCCAGUCAUAU
rnacentral:tRNA from 1 species